UACGUAGGGUGCAAGCGUUAAUCGGAAUUACUGGGCGUAAAGCGUGCGCAGGCGGUUUUGUAAGUCUGACGUGAAAUCCCCGGGCUCAACCUGGGAAUUGCGUUGGAGACUGCAAGGCUGGAGUCUGGCAGAGGGGGGUAGAAUUCCACGUGUAGCAGUGAAAUGCGUAGAGAUGUGGAGGAACACCGAUGGCGAAGGCAGCCUCCUGGGCCAGCACUGACGCUCAUGCACGAAAGCGUGGGGAGCAAACAGG
rnacentral:rRNA from 1 species